GACGAACGCUGGCGGCAUGCCUUACACAUGCAAGUCGAACGGUAACGGGCCUUCGGGUGCCGACGAGUGGCGAACGGGUGAGUAAUGUAUCGGAACGUACCUUUCAGUGGGGGAUAAAGUAGCGAAAGUUACGCUAAUACCGCAUAUUCUGUGCGCAGGAAAGCAGGGGAUCGCAAGACCUUGCGCUGAUUGAGUGGCCGAUAUCAGAUUAGCUAGUUGGUGAGGUAAAGGCUCACCAAGGCGACGAUCUGUAGCGGGUCUGAGAGGAUGAUCCGCCACACUGGAACUGAGACACGGUCCAGACUCCUACGGGAGGCAGCAGUGGGGAAUUUUGGACAAUGGGGGCAACCCUGAUCCAGCCAUGCCGCGUGAGUGAAGAAGGCCUUCGGGUUGUAAAGCUCUUUCGGCCGGGAAGAAAUCGUAUCAGCUAAUACCUGGUGCGGAUGACGGUACCGGCAUAAGAAGCACCGGCUAACUACGUGCCAGCCGCCGCGGUAAAAC
rnacentral:rRNA from 1 species